rnacentral:rRNA from 1 species
UCGAGAAUUUUUCUCAAUGGGCGAAAGCCUGAAGGAGCGACGCCGCGUGGGGGAUGAAGGGUUUCGAUCCGUAAACCCCUGUCAUUUGCGAACAAUGGUUGUUUAUGAAUAAUAGGCAACUUGAUAGUAGCGGAAGAGGAAGGGACGGCUAACUCUGUGCCAGCAGCCGCGGUAAUACAGAGGUCCCAAGCGUUGUUCGGAUUCACUGGGCGUAAAGGGUGCGUAGGUGGCGGCGCAAGUUUGAUGUGAAAUCUCCGGGCUUAACCCGGAAAAUGCAUUGAAUACUGUGUUGCUGGAGGUUUGGAGGGGGGACUGGAAUUCUCGGUGUAGCAGUGAAAUGCGUAGAUAUCGAGAGGAACACCAGUGGCGAAGGCGGGUCCCUGGACAACACCUGACACUGAGGCACGAAAGCUAGGGGAGCAAACAG